AGAUUUACUUCGGUAAUGACGUUGGGAAAGCGAGCGGCGGAUGGGUGAGUAACACGUGGGGAACCUGCCCCUAAGUCUGGGAUACCAUUUGGAAACAGGUGCUAAUACCGGAUAAUAAAGCAGAUCGCAUGAUCAGCUUUUGAAAGACGGCGUAAGCUGUCGCUAAGGGAUGGCCCCGCGGUGCAUUAGCUAGUUGGUAAGGUAACGGCUUACCAAGGCAACGAUGCAUAGCCGAGUUGAGAGACUGAUCGGCCACAUUGGGACUGAGACACGGCCCAAACUCCUACGGGAGGCAGCAGUAGGGAAUCUUCCACAAUGGACGCAAGUCUGAUGGAGCAACGCCGCGUGAGUGAAGAAGGUUUUCGGAUCGUAAAGCUCUGUUGUUGGUGAAGAAGGAUAGAGGUAGUAACUGGCCUUUAUUUGACGGUAAUCAACCAGAAAGUCACGGCUAACUACGUGCCAGCAGCCGCGGUAAUACGUAGGUGGCAAGCGUUGUCCGGAUUUAUUGGGCGUAAAGCGAGCGCAGGCGGAAAAAUAAGUCUAAUGUGAAAGCCCUCGGCUUAACCGAGGAACUGCAUCGGAAACUGUUUUUC
rnacentral:rRNA from 1 species